rnacentral:misc_RNA from 1 species
AAGUCGUAACAAGGUUUCCGUAGGUGAACCUGCGGAAGGAUCAUUACAUUUAGUAGCCUAGCUGCUAUCAGUGGGGUACGUUAGCCUGCAUAGCUUAAUCGCUGAUGAGCAGCAGACCCCCUGUUUGUACCCUUGUUUUUUGCGUACCAAAGUUUCCUCGGCGGGCUUGCUCGCCGGAUGGACAAUACUAUAACCUUUUUGAUAUUCAAUCAGCGUCUGAAAAACUUUAAUAGUUACGA